rnacentral:rRNA from 1 species
UACAGAGGGUGCGAGCGUUUGUCCGGAAUUACUGGGCGUAAAGGGCGCGUAGGCGGCUUGGUAAGUCGGGGGUGAAAGUCAGCGGCUCAACCGCUGGACUGCCUUCGAGACUGCCUGGCUUGAGCAUGGUAGAGGCUGGCGGAAUUCCCGGUGUAGCGGUGAAAUGCGUAGAUAUCUGGAGGAACACCGGUGGCGAAGGCGGCGUUCUGGACUGUAACUGACACUGAGAAACGAAAGCCAGGGUAGCAAACGGGG